GGGGGUACCAGAGCCAGGUCUAAUGGGCAGAAGGCAACCCUGUGGCGAAGGCCUUCGUGGGUUCGAAUCCCACCCCCCGCACCA
rnacentral:tRNA from 1 species